rnacentral:rRNA from 1 species
UGCAAGUCGAACGGAGAAUUAUUCGGUAGAAUCUUAGUGGCGAACGGGUGAGUAACGCGUAGACAACCUGCCGUCUUAGAUGGGGACGAACAUCGCGAAAGCGGUGCUAAUACCGAAUGAAGUGGAGCUUCCGCAUGGAAGCAUCACCAAAGGUGGCCUCUAUUUAUAAGCUACCACUGAGAGAUGGGUCUGCGUCUGAUUAGCUAGUUGGCGGGGUAAUGGCCCACCAAGGCGACGAUCAGUAGCCGGUCUGAGAGGAUGAACGGCCACAUUGGGACUGAGACACGGCCCAAACUCCUACGGGAGGCAGCAGUGGGGAAUCUUCCGCAAUGGACGAAAGUCUGACGGAGCAACGCCGCGUGAAGUGAAGAAGGUUUUCGGAUCGUAAAGCUCUGUUGUUUGAGACGAAUGUGCAGACUUUGAAUAAGGGUUUGUAAUGACGGUAUUAAACGAGAAAGCCACGGCUAACUACGUGCCAGCCGCCGC